GACGAACGCUGGCGGCGUGCUUAACACAUGCAAGUCGAACGGAAAGGCCCUGCUUUUGUGGGGUGCUCGAGUGGCGAACGGGUGAGUAACACGUGAGUAACCUGCCCUUGACUUUGGGAUAACUUUAGGAAACUGGGGCUAAUACCGGAUAGGAGCUCCUGCUGCAUGGUGGGGGUUGGAAAGUUUCGGCGGUUGGGGAUGGACUCGCGGCAUAUCAGCUUGUUGGUGGGGUAGUGGCUUACAAAGGUUUUGACGGGUAGCCGGCCUGAGAGGGUGACCGGCCACAUUGGGACUGAGAUACGGCCCAGACUCCUACGGGAGGCAGCAGUGGGGAAUAUUGCACAAUGGGCGCAAGCCUGAUGCAGUAACGCCGCGUGCGGGAUGACGGCCUUCGGGUUGUAAACCGCUUUCGCCUGUGACGAAGCGUGAGUGACGGUAAUUGGUAAAGAAGCACCGGCUAACUACGUG
rnacentral:rRNA from 1 species